CCAGCAGCCGCGGUAAUUCCAGCUCCAAUAGCGUAUACUAAAGUUGUUGCAGUUAAAAAGCUCGUAGUUGAAUUUCUGGGCGUGGGGAUUGGUCCGCGCCUCACGGUGUGUGCACCUGAUUUCUGCGUCCAUCUUCGGGGAGAACAUAUCUGACAUUAAGUUGUUGGGUAUGGGAACCUCGUCUUUUACUGUGAGCAAAAUAGAGUGUUCAAAGCAGGCUUAGGCCGUUGAAUACAUUAGCAUGGAAUAAUAAAAUAAGACCUCGGAUUAUUUUGUUGGUUUAUAUUCCAAGGUAAUGAUUAAUAGGGAUAGUUGGGGGUAUUCGUAUUCAAUUGUCAGAGGUGAAAUUCUUGGAUUUAUGGAAGACGAACUACUGCGAAAGCAUUUACC
rnacentral:rRNA from 1 species